rnacentral:rRNA from 1 species
CCUACGGGAGGCUGCAGUGAGGAAUAUUGGUCAAUGGACGAGAGUCUGAACCAGCCAAGUAGCGUGAAGGAUGACUGCCCUAUGGGUUGUAAACUUCUUUUAUAUGGGAAUAAAAUGUUCCACGUGUGGGAUUUUGUAUGUACCAUAUGAAUAAGGAUCGGCUAACUCCGUGCCAGCAGCCGCGGUAAUCCGGAGGAUCCGAGCGUUAUCCGGAUUUUUUGGGUUUAAAGGUAGCGUAGGUGGAUUGUUAAGUCAGUUGUGAAAGUUUGCGGCUCAACCGUAAAAUUGCAGUUGAUACUGGCAGUCUUGAGUACAGUAGAGGUGGGCGGAAUUCGUGGUGUAGCGGUGAAAUGCUUAGAUAUCACGAAGAACUCCGAUUGCGAAGGCAGCUCACUGGACUGCAACUGACACUGAGGCUCGAAAGUGUGGGUAUCAAACAGGAUUAGAUACCCUUGUAGUC